rnacentral:rRNA from 1 species
ACAGGAAGCAGCUUGCUGCUUCGCUGACGAGUGGCGGACGGGUGAGUAAUGUCUGGGAAACUGCCUGAUGGAGGGGGAUAACUACUGGAAACGGUAGCUAAUACCGCAUAAUGUCGCAAGACCAAAGAGGGGGACCUUCGGGCCUCUUGCCAUCGGAUGUGCCCAGAUGGGAUUAGCUAGUAGGUGGGGUAACGGCUCACCUAGGCGACGAUCCCUAGCUGGUCUGAGAGGAUGACCAGCCACACUGGAACUGAGACACGGUCCAGACUCCUACGGGAGGCAGCAGUGGGGAAUAUUGCACAAUGGGCGCAAGCCUGAUGCAGCCAUGCCGCGUGUAUGAAGAAGGCCUUCGGGUUGUAAAGUACUUUCAGCGGGGAGGAAGGCGAUAAGGUUAAUAACCUUGUCGAUUGACGUUACCCGCAGAAGAAGCACCGGCUAACUCCGUGCCAGCAGCCGCGGUAAUACGGAGGGUGCAAGCGUUAAUCGGAAUUACUGGGCGUAAAGCGCACGCAGGCGGUCUGUCAAGUCGGAUGUGAAAUCCCCGGGCUCAACCUGGGAACUGCAUUCGAAACUGGCAGGCUAGAGUCUUGUAGAGGGGGGUAG